rnacentral:rRNA from 1 species
CAGCCGCCGCGGGAAUACGAAGGGUGCAAGCGUUAAUCGGAUUUACUGGGCGUAAAGCGCACGUAGGCGGAUCGAUCAGUCAGGGGUGAAAUCCCAGAGCUCAACUCUGGAACUGCCUUUGAUACUGUCGAUCUGGAGUAUGGAAGAGGUGAGUGGAAUUCCGAGUGUAGAGGUGAAAUUCGUAGAUAUUCGGAGGAACACCAGUGGCGAAGGCGGCUCACUGGUCCAUUACUGACGCUGAGGUGCGAAAGCGUGGGGAGCAAACAGGAUUAGAUACCCCUGUAGUCCCUGUCUCUUAUAC